UACGUAGGGGGCAAGCGUUGUCCGGAUUUAUUGGGCGUAAAGAGCGUGUAGGCGGCCAGAUAGGUCCGUUGUGAAAACUCGAGGCUCAACCUCGAGACGCCGAUGGAAACCAUCUGGCUAGAGUCCGGAAGAGGAGAGUGGAAUUCCUGGUGUAGCGGUGAAAUGCGCAGAUAUCAGGAGGAACACCAAUGGCGAAGGCAGCUCGCUGGGACGUGACUGACGCUGAGACGCGAAAGCGUGGGGAGCAAACAGG
rnacentral:rRNA from 1 species